UUUUUUGUGUUUUUUCCUUCACAACCAAGUUUCCCUCCCACUUAAUGCAUGUAUAAAUCUCCUCCAUAACUGAUAAUACGCUCUCAAUCUUAUCUCAACUAUCACUCUAUUAGCGUAUUAUUUAUAGCUGUGUGUUUGAUCGAUCAGAUCAGAUAUCAGAUGGCAGAUUGGGGCCCGGUUUUUGUAUCGGUUUUGUUGUUUGCAUUGUUAUCGCCGGGAUUGUUGUUUCAGUUGCCGGGACGUGGUCGUUGUGUUGAGUUUUGCUGUUUUCAGACAAGUGGUGUCGCCAUACUCGUUCACACCAUUCUCUACUUUUCUAUCAUUUGUCUUUUCACCUUUGCCAUCCAAGUUCAUCUUUAUCUUGGCUAAAGCUCUAAACUCAUCGAUCGUUUUGCCUACUUUCUUUUUUAUGGUACGUGGACUUGUUUGUUGUACAUUUUUUUUAAGGUUGAGUGGACCUGUACUUUUUUACUUUUGAAUAAUUGUAUAUCUAUCCUAAUAAAUGAAAAUGUUUUUGCCAAAUGUCAUGUUCUCAUUUAGUUUGAUAAAUGUUUUUCUUGUGCUUUCAAUUUUCUUAAAUUUAAAAGUAAAUUCCAUAUUUUAUGCGAGUUUAUUUAUGUUAUGUAGAAUCAUUAAAUUAAAUUUCAAUAACCAUACCAAAAAAAAACGUACAACUACAAAUUGGGGCAAUAAUCAAUUCUUCCAUAAUUAAAUGUUUACACAUCAUAAUUUUCACUUAUACAAUAACUUUUUCAAAACAAAAAAUGUUAUGGAAUCCAAUUAUAAACAAAAAAAUUAGUUUUCAUUUAUUACGGUAGAUAUAUUGAAAAACUUGAUCCUUAUUAUUUUAUAUUCAACUUUUUUAAAUAAACUCGUGUAAUACACGGGUUACGUAAUAAUCAUAAUCUUAGAUUGCAACUUCUACAAAAGAGGAAACAAUUCAUUUACCAAAAUAUAAAUUAUGAUAUCAUUUUUUGCGUUGGAGAAAUCGACUAGAAGAAAUAAGAGGGUGUGUGUCUUUUCUUUUAAAUCAACUUUUUGACUUUUAACUUUUCCAAAAAGUUAAAAAAGUCCAAAAGUUGUUUGGUAAUGAAAAAGAACUUUUAAAACCAAUUUUUACCAAAGCACAAAAACUAACAUUUGCAAAAGUCAUAUCCGUGACUUUUUGUCUUUUUGAACUUUGGAGUAAUCCCAAACACUUUUUAAACAUCUUUUGGAAAAAGAUCUUUUAUAAAAAAAUCUUUUUAUAAAAAAGAUUUUUCUCUUCAAAAAAGAAUCUGAAACAACCCCUAAAGAAAGAAGAAUGUAAGGUGAUAAUAAAACUUGGAUAUCUAAAUGAGUUGCGCAAAGACAUUUUUGCCUUGGUAAUAUUUCAAUCAUAUUUUCUUUGGGUAUCAUGAAAUUCACCAAUCAAAAUGAUAACUAUCAGUUUAGGCAAUGGCCGAUUCAAACCGAUUUGAGGCCCUGAACAAAAUAAAAAAUAAGUUUUUUUUUUGCUGUGACGAUUUAAUACCGAAAGUCUUUCUCUUUUAUUUAUUUAUUUAUUUCUAAAAUAAUAUAAUUAUAUACAUAAAAAUGUGUCCGGAAACUUGGAGGCCCUGGGCCAUCACCCAUGCUGCCUUAUCCUCUCAUACGGCCGUGGUUUAGCCAAUAAAAUGAAAGUAGUGUUAUCUCGUUGUUACAAAGAUUAAAGAAAACAAAUGCCUCUUUGUUUCUAGUGUAAAUAUACAAGUUGUUUCAUUCAAAUUAGUAGACAAACAUCAUAAAUAGAAAUAGCUAAUAUCUGGUCAUGUACCAUUUCAGGACCAAAUGCUUCAGGUUGAAUUAGUUGCAUGUGUCUUUGCUAAUUAAUCACAUGAUUCUAUAGAUUGAUUUGUGUUAUAACCAGACGAAUGUCAAUUUGUACCAGACGAAUGUUAAUCUGUACGUUGUGC
rnacentral:lncRNA from 1 species